rnacentral:rRNA from 1 species
GAAGCCUGAUGCAGCGACGCCGCGUGAAGGAUGAAGGUCUUCGGAUUGUAAACUUCUUUUGUCGGGGACGAAAAUGACGGUACCUGAUGUAUAAGCCACGGCUAACUCCGUGCCAGCAGCCGCGGUAAUA